rnacentral:tRNA from 1 species
AGGGGUGUAGCUCAGUUGGCUAGAGCGUCGGUCUCCAAAACCGAAGGUCGCGGGUUCGAGCCCCUCCACCCCUGCCA